rnacentral:rRNA from 1 species
GAUGAACGCUGGCGGCGUGCCUAAUACAUGCCAGUCGAGCGAACAGACGAGGAGCUUGCUCCUCUGACGUUAGCGGCGGACGGGUGAGUAACACGUGGAUAACCUACCUAUAAGACUGGGAUAACUUCGGGAAACCGGAGCUUAUACCGGAUAAUAUAUUGAACCGCAUGGUUCAAUAGUGAAAGACGGUUUUGCUGUCACUUAUAGAUGGAUCCGCGCCGUAUUAGCUAGUUGGUAAGGUAACGGCUUACCAAGGCAACGAUGCGUAGCCGACCUGAGAGGGUGAUCGGCCACACUGGAGCUGAGACACGGUCCAGACGCCUGCGGGAGGCAGCAGUAGGGAAUCUUCCGCAAUGGGCGAGAGCCUGACGGAGCAACGCCGCGUGAGUGAUGAAGGUCUUCGGAUCGUAAAGCUCUGUUAUUAGUGAAGAACAAAUGUGUAAGUAACUAUGCACGUCUUGACGGUACCUAAUCAGAAAGCCACGGCUAACUACGUG